rnacentral:rRNA from 1 species
UGAAAGGAAAAACGGAAAGUAACUAUCUUAAACCAGUUAUUAAAAAUUACUUAGUAAGUGAAAAGUCUUAUAUAUAGAAAAAAGACGAGAAGACCCUAGAAAUUUUUUAUAUAGCGUAUUAUAAUCUAUUAUUCUAUUUUGUUGGGGCGACAUAGUAACAGUUAACUUACUAUACACUAUAUGCUAUUUAUUAGUCGGAAGAAUAAAUUACUCUAGGGAUAACAGCAUAAUUCUUAUGAGUUUGUGACCUCGAUGUUGGACUAGGAAAUAAUUUAUCUAGAAGGUAAAUUUGUUGGCUCUGUUCGAGCUACUCUCUCCUACAUGAUCUGAGUUCAAACCGGAGCUCCA